rnacentral:rRNA from 1 species
UAGGGAAUAUUGGACAAUGGGCGCAAGCCUGAUCCAGCCAUGCCGCGUGAGUGAAGAAGGCCCUCGGGUUGUAAAGCUCUUUUGUCCGGAAAGAAAAGCAUCGGGUUAAUACCCCGGUGUUCUGACGGUACCGGAAGAAUAAGCACCGGCUAACUUCGUGCCAGCAGCCGCGGUAAUACGAAGGGUGCAAGCGUUACUCGGAAUUACUGGGCGUAAAGCGUGCGUAGGCGGUCUGUUAAGUCUGCUGUGAAAUCCCCGGGCUCAACCUGGGAAUGGCAGUGGAAACUGGCGGGCUAGAGUACGGUAGAGGAUGGUGGAAUUCCCGGUGUAGCGGUGAAAUGCGUAGAGAUCGGGAGGAACACCAGUGGCGAAGGCGGCCAUCUGGACCAGUACUGACGCUGAGGCACGAAAGCGUGGGGAGCAAACA